CUGGAAAAUGACCUAGAGUUAACAGCAGGUGGCAGUGUUAGCAAAGGUUGUGCUUCUGGGACCUAAUCAGCCUGGAGAGGAGCCUCUUUCCAAUCUGAGACUUCAAGAUAGGAAUGUGUUGAACAAAUGCACUGACUAUUUCUAAGCAAUAUCUCUAAUAAAAAGAAAGAUGACUAUCAAAACACUCCUCACGAAGGCCCUGAAAAAACCUCGGAGUCCCUGCUCAGAGAGAAAAUGAGAUUAGGUCCUGAUGCAGUCACUUGUCCGAUGAGAUGCCAGUGAGAUGUCCAGAGAGGAGAAGACACGGGAAAAGAGGAAGUACCAGGAUUCUACUAAUUUCCUCCCUGGGUUUUCCCUCUAUGGGUUCCCCUUCUCUCCUCCAACAUGCUCCGUAUUGUUCACUUGAUGACAACAUUUUUAUUUCAUUGGGAACUCCCAGAGACAGUGAUGAACCUACUGAGGAAAGAAGAGGAUGUUGGUAUAUAAAAAUGCCAAAAGAAAUAUGGAAAUUGAAAUCAUGUAGUUGGCAUUGGGAAUUGAAAACAAAAUAUAGACAAACUGCUGCAUUUUACAUCUGUGGGAACUAA
rnacentral:lncRNA from 1 species